rnacentral:rRNA from 1 species
UACGGAGGGGGCUAGCGUUUGUUCGGAAUUACUGGGCGUAAAGCGCACGUAGGCGGCUUUGUAAGUUAGAGGUGAAAGCCCGGGGCUCAACUCCGGAAUUGCCUUUAAGACUGCAUCGCUAGAAUUGUGGAGAGGUAAGUGGAAUUCCGAGUGUAGAGGUGAAAUUCGUAGAUAUUCGGAAGAACACCAGUGGCGAAGGCGACUUACUGGACACAUAUUGACGCUGAGGUGCGAAAGCGUGGGGAGCAAACAGG